GUGCUCACUUCAGCAGCGCAUAUACUAAAAUUGAAACAAUUCAGAGAAGAUUAGCAUGGCCCCUGUGCAAGGAUGACGUGCAAAUUUGUGAAGCGUUCCAUAUUUUU